GUGGCAGCAAGCUCAACAUUUAAGAACAGCAAGAGGGGACAUUAUCAGACAGCAGGAUGGGAGUCCAUUACACAUAAUCAGCCAAGACCGUUGAAGAGUGUUUUCCUGACGAAAAGAGUGCCGAGAGCAGGGCUUGACUGCAGGGUUCUGGCUCCAGUGCCAACACACCAGCAAGAGAUGCCUUGCCACAGAGGGAAGAACUAGGCAGUUACACCAGCAAAUGGAUACACAAAUUGGAGGAAACAGGCACAGUGGGGUGCUUCAGACGUGUCCAUGCAUCAUGAGGGGAAAUACCUUUGCUGGCUUUGAAGUGGAGGGAAGGAUCAGAAUCAUACUGCUUCUUAUCAAGAAGUCUAUUUAUUUUCUUCCAUAUUGUUUUAUUCCUUAUCUGCACUUACCCUGCAGCAAUAUAUUUUAAGUUAAAGCCUAAACCAAAGUUUUAAACUAACUGGUACUAGAGAUAAUGUGUGCAGGAUUUUGCUCCAGCCCAUCACUAACACACAUUCAAAGAAUCAUGGUCUUAAAGAGCAACUGUCUUUAAAAAGCAAUGAAUCCCUUUGAAAACAGCCUUUGUGGCAUCGAUUCGAGUCAGAAACAACUAUUCUAGUGUCAAAAUUAACUACAAAGUAUAAAUAGGAUAAUUUUGGUCAUAAAGUCAAUCUCGUCUUAAACAGAGUUUGGAACAUCCGUUCAUCACAGCGGGUAAAUUUAGGUUGGGUUUUGAUUUGAUGAAGUCCAUUUGUCCACUAACAUGGGGUGAACAGCUGCGGUGAUUGCUCUCUAUCCAAUAGCAUAGACAUAGAGACAGAUCUGACCAGCAGCUCCGACUUUGUUAACAUAUGACAAUACGUUGCACAUUUUUUAACUUGAGAAAUACUGCACCAAACACCUUAGUUAGAUGUAAAUUUGUAUAACUACAACAUCCUCGACAAAAACGAAAAAAGAAAUAAAUCUGUAAUUAUUUUGAUCUUAGAUUCAUUCUGGGGAUUUUGAGGAAAUUAAAUAGGCUUCAGUGUCUACAGUGUCUCAUGGGGGACAAAUAUUAUUAACCAAACGAGGAAUCGGUCAGAAAACACACCUCCAAGACUGAAAUCUAGUUUUUUCUAAUGAGCAACGGAAAAACAUACAUGCCAAUUAGCGUGUUCAGUGGCUUUUUAAGUCUGGUCUAUGAUAAGCUGAAUCAAGUGUGUUACUGCGGGGCAGGAAAGAAAACCUAUACCGAGUUGCUUUCCAAGAUCAGUGUUGGAUACCCUUGCCCUACACACUAUUAACUCUGUAAUUUACAUCUGACAGCUAUGGUAGAAAAUUACAAGGUUAUGUUUUAAUUCUGUUUAUGCAUCGAAUAACGUUUCUCAGUACUCUCUCAUCUGUGUCUGUGUGGACUUGGGCCUCUGGGGCUUGGCGCUGGCAAUUGAUUUAUGAUGAUUUGGUAA